CACUGAUCAAGAACCUUCCGAACCGUGCUUAAGCGGACAUAACAUGUGACGUGUAAUAUGAGACUCGGUCAACAGGACCAAUAAGCCGGCGUAGCUUGCGUGCAUCCGGUAUCAUAGUUUUUACUCUGUUACAGAGUAAAAACUUCGAACCCGGAUGCACGCAGGCUAGGCGUAGGAAGCAUAUUCGGGAACCAAGGGCGUUAUGUAGGAAGGGGAAAUUCGGUACUUCUUUGUAUGAAGAUUGAAAGGAAUGUCGAUAGCCCGAGGGGGGGCGUCUUGUAAUCCCAUAGCCCGGUUGUAGUUCUAAAUACUGAUUUCGGACACACUAGGCGUUCCGUGGUCAGACGAGAGCCAUGCUAGCAGCCUUAGACACCUUCCUAUUCCAUCGACUCGAUCGGCGCUUUUGUACUUAAAAUUAAGCUGCAAAACAUGUUGAUGCUAGUAGUGCUUUAGCCUGCGUCCAGCCGGAAAUAGUUCCGUUAUUACGGUAAUAAUAGAACUAUUUCCGGCUGCAUGCAGGCUAGUAGUGCUUUUCCUAAGUGUUAAAAUAUAUUUUGCCGACGAUCACCACCUUUUUUAAUUAAUUUUAGAUUUUCAACCCGGGGUAGUUAGGUAGUGGCGGCUCAAGGGAAGGGGAGAGGUAGAGGCGCUCGCUUUUUCUUCUCUAAGCCCCCCUCCCCCCGUCUCUCUCCCUUGAACCGCUACGCAGGCUAGGGGUAGUGCAAGUAGGUUCUAGCUUUCAUUUCUGUGGACCCGCAGACAAAACGAGACUUAGCGACGGGUGGAAAUAGAGCCUACGCAGAAGAAACAAAACAGUUUCAGAUCAAGACAAACCUAGCGGAAAUUUAGGAGUGUGCUGGCGUGGUCACCUCUCUAGUCUCCUGCGCAGCCGUCUAUCACCACUCACGAGCAGCAACAUGCCUAGCCUAGCACACGUGAUCUUGAGUUCCUCACGGGAAGCCUGGAUUCUUUUAUUAUUACAAAGCAAGAACUACUAGCGAGUUUUUUUAACAAAUGGACUCGACUAGGCCAAGUUAACAAAUACAAAUAUUCGUCCUCGCCGGCGUCAUUUUUUUAGGGCCGAUUCAAAAUUUCAACAUUUGCUAAUUUUCAAACUCCUAUAAUUAACCUUUUUCGCGAUUUUAGACGUUCCCUUAGCCUUCGUCAGUGAAAAACUCCAUUCGUAUUUGCUUUUGUUGGCGUUAUGAUAUGGAGCCAGUCAAAAAAAUCCUUUUGGAGGUCCAUUGUGGAUAGAUCAAUAAUAAUGGUACAGGAAAUACAGGAAAUACAAAUAAAAGCUACCCGCCCCACUUUCUCCUCGCCGUUCCGCCGCGCCGCCUCGCUCUUUCGCGUCUCAUAACGCUGCCCGCGUCGACUUGCUUCUCGAGGAUUGCCCGCUCGUUUUUUUUUUUUUUUUCCUAGAAAUGCGGUUGGGAAACGUUUGUUUUAUUUUACUUGGCAAAUUAAAUACAAUGGGUAUAUCGAUUUGCUAUAAUGUAUGGCGUUGUUAGAUGGUACUCCAUCUCUAUUUCCAUUUGUAUUUUAUAACGUCUGAGUUAACGUCCUAGGGGAAUAUAUGUAUUGAUCCGCCGCUCAUGUGAUUUAAUUAUUUUACUGCAAUGGUGUAAUGGUAAAAUGACCGUUUAUUUCAUUCAAAAUAAAAUUAGAACUCUAAUGUAAUACAAUGGAAUAUGAGUUCUUCUUGAAAGUAAUGCACAACAAAGCCGGUUGAGGGGUUGUAUUUACAAUAGAGUAGUGAACAAUGGCCGGCGAAUCGCGCGCGAGCCGAAUAAGGAACAAACGGCAAUUAAGAAGCGGGCGCGCUAAAGAAAUAGUUAUUAUCUAUGCAAAGGAUAGUUUCUCGAUUAUACCCAGGUAAGCUAUGCAGCUAGAGAGAAAAUGAUUCUGUUCUACUUCUGGGUGCGCGAGUCUUUAGAGCCGUUAUGUAAAGAAGCCGACGUAGUGGGGAGGUGAAAAUGCCUGAGACACUUAAAUGUAUGUUGGUUGAUGUCGAUAAGAAUGCGCGAUUCAUUUUCUCCGGAUACAGAUUUAGAAUCUAGUUUUUUAUUUACUCCAAUGGGAAAAUAUACCUGACUUUUAUAAGGGUGGAUAUCUUCGCCGCUCAUAUUCACCGGAACUGUUGAUUUCUCAUAAACUUACGCUUCGUUACCGGUGUGCCAAGCAUGUAAUCUGUUGCAUGUGAUUUUAAACUCAAACCCAUCGCUUGGCUGUUCUAAAUAAAUGUGGAAGGUCUUUUUUAAUUCAGAAAAUUUAAGUUUAGGCUAAAAAUAUCGGAUAAGUAAAAUGACAAUACUAGAUCAGUACGAAGC